rnacentral:snRNA from 1 species
ACCUUUGCACAAUGGCAGUAUCAGCCAAUGAGGUUUAUCCGAGGUGUGAUUAUCGCUAAUUAAAAACAAAAAUAGAAUCACUUGAGAGUAAAUUGCACCAUCUGACUCUUCAACCCUAAAUACUUCAGCCUGAGUUUUCUGCGAAAAGGACUUUCUU